ensembl:snRNA U7 U7 small nuclear RNA
GAGAGUUACAGUUCUUACAGAAUUUGUCUAGCAGGUUUUCUGGUCUUCACAGGAACUUCCCCU